CAGGAAGCAGUUUCUCCUGGGUGAAAAACUAAACCUGGUUGUUUCAGCAUCACUCAGGCAAGACUAAAUACUUUUAAAUUGAUUUCAGUUGGUUAUGUGUUUCAGGUCAUCCUGACCAUUCUGCUGUCCUGGAUGUAAGUCCGUGCAGGAACUACAUUUCUCGUGGUUGAAAGAUUUGUGCAGCGAUUUGAGGGAAAGAUUAAAAACAAGGAGGUCUGGGAACGACUGAAGGGAUCUGACAGCAGUGAGGGAAGGAAGUAAUCACCAGAAUCUCAGAGGAUGUUGACAGUGCAGGCCCAGGAUGAAG